GAUGAACGCUAGCGGCAGGCUUAAUACAUGCAAGUCGAGGGGCAGCAGGGGUGUAGCAAUACACUCGCUGGCGACCGGCAAACGGGUGCGGAACACGUACGCAACUUACCCAAAACUGGGGAAUAGCCCGGGGAAACCCGGAUUAAUACCUCGUAACAUAAUGAAGUGGCAUCACUUUAUUAUUAUAGCUCCGGCGGUCUUGGAUGGGCGUGCGCCUGAUUAGGUAGUUGGCGGGGUAACGGCCCACCAAGCCUACGAUCAGUAACUGGUGUGAGAGCACGACCAGUCACACGGGCACUGAGACACGGGCCCGACUCCUACGGGAGGCAGCAGUAAGGAUAUUGGUCAAUGGACGCAAGUCUGAACCAGCCAUGCCGCGUG
rnacentral:rRNA from 1 species